AGCAGAGUGGCUCAGUGGAAAGAGCCUGGGCUUCAGAGUCAGAGGUCGUGGGUUCGAUUCCCAGCUCUGCCA
rnacentral:tRNA from 1 species